rnacentral:rRNA from 1 species
UGGGGAAUCUUGGACAAUGGGGGCAACCCUGAUCCAGCGAUGCCGCGUGGGUGAAGAAGGCCUUCGGGUUGUAAAGCCCUUUAGGUUGGGAAGAAGUGUAUAUGGAGAUAAUACGUAUACAUUGACGGUACCGACAGAAUAAGCACCGGCAAACUCUGUGCCAGCAGCCGCGGUAAUACAGAGGGUGCGAGCGUUAAUCGGAAUUACUGGGCGUAAAGGGUGCGUAGGCGGUAAAGUGUGAGGUUUGUGAAAGCCCCGGGCUUAACCUGGGAAGUGCAAGCCUAACUACUUAACUAGAAUACAGGAGAGGGUAGCGGAAUUUCCGGUGUAGCGGUGAAAUGCGUAGAGAUCGGAAGGAACGUCAGUGGCGAAGGCGACUACCUGGACUGAUAUUGACGCUGAAGCACGAAAGCGUGGGGAGCGAACAGGAUUAGAUACCCGGGUAGUCC